AGUGAACGCUGGCGGUAGGCCUAACACAUGCAAGUCGAACGGCAGCACAGGAGAGCUUGCUCUCUGGGUGGCGAGUGGCGGACGGGUGAGGAGUACAUCGGAAUCUGCCCAGUCGUGGGGGAUAUCGUAGGGAAACUUACGCUAAUACCGCAUACGACCUGCGGGUGAAAGAGGGGGGUCGCGAGACCUCGCGCGCGGGUAGGAGCGGGUGUCGGAUUAGCUAGUUGGCGGGGUAAUGGCCCACCAAGGCGACGAUCCGUAGCUGGUCUGAGAGGAUGAUCAGCCACACUGGAACUGAGACACGGUCCAGACUCCUACGGGAGGCAGCAGUGGGGAAUAUUGGACAAUGGGCGCAAGCCUGAUCCAGCCAUACCGCGUGGGUGAAGAAGGCCUUCGGGUUGUAAAGCCCUUUUGUUGGGAAAGAAAUCUUUCAGGCUAAUACCCUGGGAGGAUGACGGUACCCAAAGAAUAAGCACCGGCUAACUUCGUG
rnacentral:rRNA from 1 species